UUUUAGACAGAAAUAAUGAUGAAUAAAUAAGCUCUAAAAUGUUGCAUUGUUUCCUUUUAGGAGUUUCAAAUGGAGAAUGGUUUUAAUAUGAUAUAAAUAUUAAAAGUGAAAAUCCCAAAUAAAAUAUUUUUAUGAAGGGUGUGUGUGUGUGUCUGUCUGUCUGUCGAUGGGCGGGUUGUAGCUAAAGGUCAGGGCCGCAGCCGCAGACACAGUGAUGUGAUGUGAUGCUGUUUUUAAUCCGUAAAAAGUCAGUGAAUACGUUUAUAUCUUCGGUUAACGCAGAGAUGCACCACCGGGUUGAGGACGUAAAUCGAUCUACAGAAGAGAGGACCAGGAAACUCCUUGGACCUGCUGUUGCCAGACCCGCCAUUUUUGGACUUCAGCCUGAAAUCCACUCAGUCUUCGCCUUUCCUCGACCACUGUUGCUCUUUACAUCGCCCAUGCUUCAGGUGAAAUCCCAUGGACUUUGUGAUCAGUCACCUGCGGUUUCGAGCCUCCACCAGCUCACUCAGCUGUUCCUGAGCCGCUCUGAGCUCCUCCAGACUCUGCUGGUAGCUGAGAUCCCCUGAACCCGACCUUUCCAGGAGGGAAACCUGGUUUGACAGCUCACUGGUUCGAUCCCGCAGCCGCUGGAUGGACAUGUACAAGUUCUCGUCAUCUUCCUCCUGCAGCCACAGUGAGGAUCGGAAAACAGCAAGGAAAGUCUGUCGUAAUCAGCUCCACAGAUCUCCACCUCCACAAAGGGACAGACGAUGCUGCGGCCAUUUUUAGGCAGAUGACGAGCUCCCACCACCUGUCAAAACAAAAUGCAUCUCACUACUAGUUCAAUGCAGGCUGUUUAGGUCCUCCAGACUGUCGGCUGCCACAUCCAGGGUCUGAACCGGGUGAGAUGACAGCUGCUGGGAGUGGAUCGUGCACACGUAGGGCCGUGAAUUCUUCCCAUCCUUAUGCACCACUGGACAGACAGAUGGAGCGAGGGAUGAUGGGAGGACAAGAGUGGACGAGAAGUAAGAGCCUGGAAUACGUUCAAAUCAGGCAGCCCGUCCCUUGCCCGUGAAGAAAGUAAAAAACGUAAAAUAAAAAGCUGAGCUGUGUCUGACUAACCGUGGUGCCCAUCCGGUCCAGAGUGUCCUCGUUGAUGGGGUAACGGAGCCUCAUCUUGCGGUACAGAGGAUGUUUCUCAUAGUAGCUCACAAGGUCGACCAGACUCUCAAACUCUG